GCGCAGCCCCAGCCCAUCCCGUGCGGACCCUACGCCGAGUCCAGCCCGGGGCUGCUGGGCCAGCGGGAGCGGGAACCGGACGGCGCUCGCGUUCUGCCAGAGCGGAGAACGACUCGGGGACGGUGCGGAGGACCAGGGGAGGAGAUCCGCGCCCGCACGCACCAUCAGCCGAGAGGACGGCCCGCAUCGCGCCAGUGACCUAGGAGCGACUCGGGGACGGCUUCGGGCUCCCAGGCCCUCCUGGGCCACCGGGCACUGAGGAGAGCGGCGGCUGGAAACUGUGGGACCCGAAGGGCGGGAGCCCAGGGCCCGCCCCCGCCGGAGCGCCCCCGCCAUGGCCACGCCCCCGCCACGGGGAUGGGCAGGGCAAGCACCGGAAGUGCGUCACGCGGGAGCGUCUGCGUCGCCUACCCUGCGUGGCGCAGCUAGGUUCCGAGCGGCUUAGCCUCCGGGCGCCUGCGCAGUGGCGGUCCUAGAGACGCACUCGGUUGCCAUAGAGACGGGGGCUUGGGAGCGACGUCGCGCUCGCUGGCACUGGCGGCACUUGCCGCGCCGCAGCCACCUCUUUCCGACUCCACCAGUGCGGGCCCUAUCCGGGGUUUUGAGUCACGCAGACCUGGACACAGCGAGAAACGGCAGUCCGGGCCCGUCCUCCCGCCCCGGGUUCUGCACCCCAGAGUUGGACGCUUGCUUCUCGCUUUCUCCUGAGAGAAGUCUCCGCGUUUCUGAACAAUGCACUGCUAGUUUCUCAUUUCUUUCUUUCUUUCUUUUUUUUUUUUUGGAGACGGAGCCUCGCCCUGUCGCCCAGGCUGGAGUGCAAUGGCGCGAUCUCGGCUCAUUGCAACCUCCGCCUCCAGGGCUUAAACUAUUCUCUUGCUUCAGCCUCCCGAGCAGCUGGGACUACAGGCAUGCGCUACCACGCACAGCUAAUUUUUGCAUUUUUAGUCAAGACGGGGUUUCACCAUUUUGGCCAGGCUGAUUUCGAACUCCUGACCUCGUGAUCUGCCCUCCUAGGGCUCCCAACGUGCUGGGAUUAUAGGCGUGAGCCACCGCGCCCGGCCUCUCAUUUCUUAAUUGUAGACAUUGCGUACUUCCGGAGAAGGUCCCUGAGAACCUGGCUGAUCUUCCCCGCUGCACCCCUCACGUGGUCCUGUUAGCUCCCAAACUGUCAACCUGAAAGGAAACCCAGAGGCAGGCUCUCCAGGACAAGUGAGUUAAUCUGGGAAUCGCAGGGGGUUGCAGCCUAGGCUGUUCGUGCCAUGACAGAUCAUAGGCCUAUCUGAGAGGGCCGGGCGAAGGGGAAAAUACAGAUGAGCUCACAAAAGUUGUUUUGUAACAAAAACCACUGGCUGUGGGCGCUUGCUGCAGGAGUGGGCGUUAGCUUGUUGUUGGAGAGAGCCUUACCAGGCCGACGUCCUUGUGCAAGCUGCUUAUCUAGAAUACUGCAGUCCUGAGGAAUUUCCCUGCAGUAAGUCCGGUUACAGGCAAACGUGCAGGACGUGCAGGAGCGUCUUGUGAGGAGGCCUGCUGCAGGUAUUCCUGCAUGAGAGCUCCCCCUUCGUGGCCUCCCGACUCCAUUUGUUUAGGGAUUGGUGGAAGUAGUUCCAUUUUGGUACCUGCAACUUUCACAGCUGUCGUGAUGAAAUCAGGCUUAGCUCUUCAUGAUUGAGUACCUGCUGUUCACUGCUACAGUAUAAAACCAUGCCACAAUUCCUGUACAAUCUUUUUUUUUCUUUUGAGUUAAUAAUUACCUAAUAUUUUCACAUAUCUAGCUUUUUACUAACCCAUGGCCAGCCUUUUUUUCAAGUACCCCAACGUUUUCGCCACAUGCCUAACGAUACCGUUUUCCAAAGGCUCAAACACAUCCGUUGUGUCUAACUGAUUCUCCUGUUCCGACCUAGACCGAUCACUUCCUGACCCGGCUGCACAGCUCUUAUCUCGAGCUUUUCUCUGCUCUCAUCCUUGAGACUCACUUUGUCUGUCUCCUUUCUUGGAUUCCCUGUGUAAACGAAAAAUAAAAUCCUAAGCUCUCUACCAA
rnacentral:lncRNA from 10 species